UGCUCAGCAACUCCUAUCCCUACCUCCUCGUGAUACUGGCCGGGGUACGGGUAACCUUAGGGAAGAUCGGGUUACCAACAUCGAUGGGAACUCAUAUGCUGACAGGGAAGG
rnacentral:ribozyme from 1 species